UACAGAGGCCCCAAGCGUUAGGCGGAAUCACUGGGCUUAAAGCGUGUGUAGGCGGAUCGUUAAGUGUCUUGUGAAAUCCCACGGCUCACCCGUGGAACUGCUGGGCAUACUGGCGAUCUUGGGCCAACUAGGGGCAGCCGGAACAAGCGGUGGAGCGGUGAAAUGCGUAGAUAUCGCUUGGAACGCCGAAGGUGAAAACAGGCUGCUGGGGUUGCGCCGACGCUGAGACACGAAAGCCAGGGGAGCAAACGGG
rnacentral:rRNA from 1 species